GCUGAAUACCACAAUCAUGGCAACCACAACAGCAGAAGCCGAAACCCGCCAGAGACUGCUGCGAAACGUGAAGAAGGAGACAUGUGACGGUGUAAUCCAAGGAUGAUGGUUAAUACAUGUAAAUAGAAGAACAAGGC